rnacentral:rRNA from 1 species
CUGCAGUCGACGCUUUUUCUUUCACCGGAGCUUGCUCCACCGAAAGAAAAAGAGUGGCGAACGGGUGAGUAACACGUGGGUAACCUGCCCAUCAGAAGGGGAUAACACUUGGAAACAGGUGCUAAUACCGUAUAACACUAUUUUCCGCAUGGAAGAAAGUUGAAAGGCGCUUUUGCGUCACUGAUGGAUGGACCCGCGGUGCAUUAGCUAGUUGGUGAGGUAACGGCUCACCAAGGCCACGAUGCAUAGCCGACCUGAGAGGGUGAUCGGCCACACUGGGACUGAGACACGGCCCAGACUCCUACGGGAGGCAGCAGUAGGGAAUCUUCGGCAAUGGACGAAAGUCUGACCGAGCAACGCCGCGUGAGUGAAGAAGGUUUUCGGAUCGUAAAACUCUGUUGUUAGAGAAGAACAAGGAUGAGAGUAGAACGUUCAUCCCUUGACGGUAUCUAACCAGAAAGCCACGGCUAACUACGUGCCAGCAGCCGCGGUAAUACGUAGGUGGCAAGCGUUGUCCGGAUUUAUUGGGCGUAAAGCGAGCGCAGGCGGUUUCUUAAGUCUGAUGUGAAAGCCCCCGGCUCAACCGGGGAGGGUCAUUGGAAACUGGGAGACUUGAGUGCAGAAGAGGAGAGUGGAAUUCCAUGUGUAGCGGUGAAAUGCGUAGAUAUAUGGAGGAACACCAGUGGCGAAGGCGGCUCUCUGGUCUGUAACUGACGCUGAGGCUCGAAAGCGUGGGGAGCGAACAGGAUUAGAUACCCUGGUAGUCCACGCCGUAAACGAUGAGUGCUAAGUGUUGGAGGGUUUCCGCCCUUCAGUGCUGCAGCAAACGCAUUAAGCACUCCGCCUGGGGAGUAC